rnacentral:rRNA from 1 species
GCAUAUCAAUAAGCGGAGGAAAAGAAACCAACCGGGAUUGCCUUAGUAACGGCGAGUGAAGCGGCAAAAGCUCAAAUUUGAAAUCUGGUACCUUCGGUGCCCGAGUUGUAAUUUGGAGAGGGCAACUUUGGGGCCGUUCCUUGUCUAUGUUCCUUGGAACAGGACGUCAUAGAGGGUGAGAAUCCCGUGUGGCGAGGAGUGCGGUUCUUUGUAAAGUGCCUUCGAAGAGUCGAGUUGUUUGGGAAUGCAGCUCUAAGUGGGUGGUAAAUUCCAUCUAAAGCUAAAUAUUGGCGAGAGACCGAUAGCGAACAAGUACAGUGAUGGAAAGAUGAAAAGAACUUUGAAAAGAGAGUGAAAAAGUACGUGAAAUUGUUGAAAGGGAAGGGCAUUUGAUCAGACAUGGUGUUUUGUGCCCUCUGCUCCUUGUGGGUAGGGGAAUCUCGCAUUUCACUGGGCCAGCAUCAGUUUUGGUGGCAGGAUAAAUCCAUAGGAAUGUAGCUUGCCUCGGUAAGUAUUAUAGCCUGUGGGAAUACUGCCAGCUGGGACUGAGGACUGCGACGUAAGUCAAGGAUGCUG